UUAUCGAGAUCUCAGCUUCUUCAUAAGCUCCCACACGAAUUGCUUGAUUCACUGGUUAGACGAUUGGGUCUGUAGCUCAGUUGGUUAGAGCGCACCCCUGAUAAGGGUGAGGUCGGCAGUUCGAAUCUGCCCAGACCCACCAAUUGUUGGUGUGCUGCGUGAUCCGAUACGGGGCCAUAGCUCAGCUGGGAGAGCGCCUGCUUUGCACGCAGGAGGUCAGGAGUUCGAUCCUCCUUGGCUCCACCAUCUAAAACAAUCGUCGAAAGCUCAGAAAUGAAUGUUCGUGAAUGAACAUUGAUUUCUGGUCUUUGCACCAGAACUGUUCUUUAAAAAUUCGGGUAUGUGAUAGAAGUAAGACUGAAUGAUCUCUUUCACUGGUGAUCAUUCAAGUCAAGGUAAAAUUUGCGAGUUCAAGCGCGAAUUUUCGGCGAAUGUCGUCUUCACAGUAUAACCAGAUUGCUUGGGGU
rnacentral:tRNA from 1 species